rfam:Eutrema salsugineum unplaced genomic scaffold scaffold_3, whole genome shotgun sequence.
AAGCCGUGGUGUGGACACUGGUUAGUGUAGCUUCUAAACCGCACCCAAGCUUCACCGAAGCUUUCAUUGGUGUGUUGUGUGAAUCUUGAGAUUUGAUUUCUGAGCUU